AGGGUAUGUAAGUCUCGUCAUGUGACUUGCGAGAUUUCACGAUAUUUUGCACUUCCGGGUACAAACAAAUAUCAACAACAUUGCUUAUCUAUAUUGGGUAAUACUUGUAUGCCGGUGGGAAAGUAAAACUUACAUGGAAAAGCAAAUGAUAUGUAGAAAUUGGCAGAUUUUUUUUGUUUUGUAACGAAAUGCAAAUGGUUUCAUCUUGUGAACAAGUAUCAAUGAAAGACAACUUCGUAAAAUCUUCAGAUAUUUUGACUGAGGACAGUGGUGAGAUGAAAGACGUCAGUAUCCAUUGUAAAUAAACAUGCAUGCUCUGCUGUAAAAUCGUUUUGGUAUGUGAUUUCAUGGUUGGAUCUUGAGUACUUGUCAUGGCUCUUGAUUUAUUUUGGAGUGUUCACAAUCAGAUUAGAAAUCAAAUAGUGAUACCACCAGGCAUAGUUGAAAGGAAAUGUCCAUACACAGUCCUGGAGUACAUAGUGGUAGAGACAUGGCGGUCCAUUACUGAUUUUGACUGAAUUAAAGCUUUUUAAAGCUCCAUGUCUUGUGUAAACUGUCUGACUGAAUGUUUGUAUUCUAAUAAAAUCUAAGGUUGAAGACCCUUCAAAGAUAUA